rnacentral:rRNA from 2 species
CCUGGCGGCCUUAGCGCGGUGGUCCCACCUGCCCCCAUGCCGAACUCAGAAGUGAAACGCCGUAGCGCCGAUGGUAGUGUGGGGUCUCCCCAUGCGAGAGUAGGGAACUGCCAGGC